rnacentral:rRNA from 1 species
UACGGGGGAGCAAGCGUUGUUCGGAUUUACUGGGCGUAAAGGGCGCGUAGGCGGCGUGACAAGUCACUUGUGAAAUCUCCGGGCUUAACUCGGAACGGUCAAGUGAUACUGUCGUGCUAGAGUACAGAAGGGGCAACUGGAAUUCUCGGUGUAGCGGUGAAAUGCGUAGAUAUCGAGAGGAACACCGUGCGGCGAAGGCGGGUUGCUGGGCUGAUACUGACGCUGAGGCGCGAAAGCUAGGGGAGCGAACGGG